CGCGUAGGCGGUUUAGCGAGUGUGAUGUGAAAGCCCUGGGCUUAACCUAGGAAGUGCAUCGCAAACGGCUAAACUAGAGUAGAUGAGAGGGUGAUGGAAUUUCCGGUGUAGCGGUGAAAUGCGUAGAGAUCGGAAGGAACGUCGAUGGCGAAGGCAGUCACCUGGCAUCAUACUGACGCUGAGGCGCGAAAGCGUGGGAGCAAACA
rnacentral:rRNA from 1 species